rnacentral:rRNA from 1 species
AGAGUUUGAUCAUGGCUCAGAACGAACGCUGGCGGCGUGGAUAAGACAUGCAAGUCGAGCGCUGAUUGCGAGGUAGCAAUAUUUCGCAGUCGGAGCGGCGCAAGGGUGCGUAACACGUGGGUAAUCUGCCAUGAAGUCCGGGAUAACUCGCUGAAAGGCGAGCUAAUACCGGAUGUGACAAUUGAGAGGCAUCUUCCGAUUGUCAAAGCUGGGGACCGUAAGGCCUGGCGCUUCUUGAUGAGCCCGCGGCCUAUCAGCUAGUUGGUGAGGUAACGGCUCACCAAGGCUAAGACGGGUAGCUGGUCUGAGAGGACGACCAGCCACACUGGAACUGAGACACGGUCCAGACACCUACGGGUGGCAGCAGUCGAGAAUUUUUCACAAUGGGCGCAAGCCUGAUGGAGCGACGCCGCGUGGGGGAUGAAUGGCUUCGGCCCGUAAACCCCUGUCAUUCGCGAUCAACCCUUAUUAUUUAAAAGAUGAUAAGCUGAUAGUAGCGGAAGAGGAAGGGACGGCUAACUCUGUGCCAGCAGCCGCGGUAAUACAGAGGUCCCGAGCGUUGUUCGGAUUCACUGGGCGUAAAGGGUGCGUAGGUGGUGAGGUAAGUCGGAUGUGAAAUCUCGGAGCUUAACUCCGAAACUGCAUUGGAAACUACCUUGCUCGAGGGUUGGAGGGGGGACUGGAAUUCUCGGUGUAGCAGUGAAAUGCGUAGAUAUCGAGAGGAACACCAGUGGCGAAGGCGAGUCCCUGGACAACUCCUGACACUGAGGCACGAAAGCUAGGGGAGCAAACAGGAUUAGAUACCCUAGUAGUCC